rnacentral:RNase_MRP_RNA from 1 species
AAGCGCUCUGAAGACCUGUUCACUAGGCUACAGACUGAGGACUCGGUUCCUCGCCAUCACUGCCCGCCUAGGGGAAAGUCCCCGGACCCCAGAGCAGCGAGUGCUCCCGCCUCAUCGGCGGUACAGCCCCCGUCACCGCAGCUCACGAUCACCGCCAAGACGCCGGGAGUUGGCCGAGCGUGUGAGCGCCGACUUGGGGGCCUCCGUCACAGCCGGUAGUUACGCAGGUAGUGUGGCUCCCUCCUCGGUGAGGGGGAGCGCACCAACAGCACGGGGCUCAUUCUCAGGGCGCU